UUUUACAGGUGUUAGAGUCUUAAGUCUUGGAAAGUGCAUUUCUUUUUUUUUUUCUUUUAGGACAUACACACGUCUCUUCUUUUUGCAUUACUUUUAGAUCUCUUCUUAUGCACUUGCCCUUUCUUUCAAGAUUACCACCCCAAACUUAGCUUUUUGCAUAUUUUGUAACUUACAACAAUCUUGCCGAUUAAUGGAGGAAAUGAAUGAUUAAUGGUUAAAAUGGGGUUUAUUACGAACAAAAAGGCUAAGGCUCAACGGGGUUCACG
rnacentral:lncRNA from 1 species